GGUUAAGCGACUAAGCGUACACGGUGGAUGCCACGGCAGUCAGAGGCGAUGAAGGACGUGCUAAUCUGCGAUAAGCGUCGGUAAGGUGAUAUGAACCGUUAUAACCGGCGAUUUCCGAAUGGGGAAACCCAGUGUGAUUCGUCACACUAUCAUUAACUGAAUCCAUAGGUUAAUGAGGCGAACCGGGGAACUGAAACAUCUAAGUACCCCGAGGAAAAGAAAUCAACCGAGAUUCCCCAGUAGCGGCGAGCGAACGGGGAGCAGCCCAGAGCCUGAAUCAGUGUGUGUGUUAGUGGAAGCGUCUGGAAAGGCGCGCGAUACAGGGUGACAGCCCCGUACACAAAAAUGCACAUAUUGUGAGCUCGAUGAGUAGGGCGGGACACGUGGUAUCCUGUCUGAAUAUGGGGGGCCCAUCCUCCAAGGCUAAAUACUCCUGACUGACCGAUAGUGAACCAGUACCGUGAGGGAAAGGCGAAAAGAACCCCGGCGAGGGAGUGAAAAAGAACCUGAAACCGUGUACGUACAAGCAGUGGGAGCACGCUUAGGCGUGUGACUGCGUACCUUUUGUAUAAUGGGUCAGCGACUUAUAUUCUGUAGCAAGGUUAACCGAAUAGGGGAGCCGAAGGGAAACCGAGUCUUAACUGGGCGUUAAGUUGCAGGGUAUAGACCCGAAACCCGGUGAUCUAGCCAUGGGCAGGUUGAAGGUUGGGUAACACUAACUGGAGGACCGAACCGACUAAUGUUGAAAAAUUAGCGGAUGACUUGUGGCUGGGGGUGAAAGGCCAAUCAAACCGGGAGAUAGCUGGUUCUCCCCGAAAGCUAUUUAGGUAGCGCCUCGUGAAUUCAUCUCCGGGGGUAGAGCACUGUUUCGGCAAGGGGGUCAUCCCGACUUACCAACCCGAUGCAAACUGCGAAUACCGGAGAAUGUUAUCACGGGAGACACACGGCGGGUGCUAACGUCCGUCGUGAAGAGGGAAACAACCCAGACCGCCAGCUAAGGUCCCAAAGUCAUGGUUAAGUGGGAAACGAUGUGGGAAGGCCCAGACAGCCAGGAUGUUGGCUUAGAAGCAGCCAUCAUUUAAAGAAAGCGUAAUAGCUCACUGGUCGAGUCGGCCUGCGCGGAAGAUGUAACGGGGCUAAACCAUGCACCGAAGCUGCGGCAGCGACGCUUAUGCGUUGUUGGGUAGGGGAGCGUUCUGUAAGCCUGCGAAGGUGUGCUGUGAGGCAUGCUGGAGGUAUCAGAAGUGCGAAUGCUGACAUAAGUAACGAUAAAGCGGGUGAAAAGCCCGCUCGCCGGAAGACCAAGGGUUCCUGUCCAACGUUAAUCGGGGCAGGGUGAGUCGACCCCUAAGGCGAGGCCGAAAGGCGUAGUCGAUGGGAAACAGGUUAAUAUUCCUGUACUUGGUGUUACUGCGAAGGGGGACGGAGAAGGCUAUGUUGGCCGGGCGACGGUUGUCCCGGUUUAAGCGUGUAGGCUGGUUUUCCAGGCAAAUCCGGAAAAUCAAGGCUGAGGCGUGAUGACGAGGCACUACGGUGCUGAAGCAACAAAUGCCCUGCUUCCAGGAAAAGCCUCUAAGCAUCAGGUAACAUCAAAUCGUACCCCAAACCGACACAGGUGGUCAGGUAGAGAAUACCAAGGCGCUUGAGAGAACUCGGGUGAAGGAACUAGGCAAAAUGGUGCCGUAACUUCGGGAGAAGGCACGCUGAUAUGUAGGUGAAGUCCCUUGCGGAUGGAGCUGAAAUCAGUCGAAGAUACCAGCUGGCUGCAACUGUUUAUUAAAAACACAGCACUGUGCAAACACGAAAGUGGACGUAUACGGUGUGACGCCUGCCCGGUGCCGGAAGGUUAAUUGAUGGGGUCAGCGCAAGCGAAGCUCUUGAUCGAAGCCCCGGUAAACGGCGGCCGUAACUAUAACGGUCCUAAGGUAGCGAAAUUCCUUGUCGGGUAAGUUCCGACCUGCACGAAUGGCGUAAUGAUGGCCAGGCUGUCUCCACCCGAGACUCAGUGAAAUUGAACUCGCUGUGAAGAUGCAGUGUACCCGCGGCAAGACGGAAAGACCCCGUGAACCUUUACUAUAGCUUGACACUGAACAUUGAGCCUUGAUGUGUAGGAUAGGUGGGAGGCUUUGAAGUGUGGACGCCAGUCUGCAUGGAGCCGGCCUUGAAAUACCACCCUUUAAUGUUUGAUGUUCUAACGUGGACCCGUGAUCCGGGUUGCGGACAGUGUCUGGUGGGUAGUUUGACUGGGGCGGUCUCCUCCUAAAGAGUAACGGAGGAGCAGGAAGGUUGGCUAAUCCUGGUCGGACAUCAGGAGGUUAGUGCAAUGGCAUAAGCCAGCUUGACUGCGAGCGUGACGGCGCGAGCAGGUGCGAAAGCAGGUCAUAGUGAUCCGGUGGUUCUGAAUGGAAGGGCCAUCGCUCAACGGAUAAAAGGUACUCCGGGGAUAACAGGCUGAUACCGCCCAAGAGUUCAUAUCGACGGCGGUGUUUGGCACCUCGAUGUCGGCUCAUCACAUCCUGGGGCUGAAGUAGGUCCCAAGGGUAUGGCUGUUCGCCAUUUAAAGUGGUACGCGAGCUGGGUUUAGAACGUCGUGAGACAGUUCGGUCCCUAUCUGCCGUGGGCGCUGGAGAACUGAGGGGGCUGCUCCUAGUACGAGAGGACCGGAGUGGACGCAUCACUGGUGUUCGGGUUGUCAUGCCAAUGGCACUGCCCGGUAGCUAAAUGCGGAAGAGAUAAGUGCUGAAAGCAUCUAAGCACGAAACUUGCCCCGAGAUGAGUUCUCCCUGACCCUUUAAGGGUCCUGAAGGAACGUUGAAGACGACGACGUUGAUAGGCCGGGUGUGUAAGCGCAGCGAUGCGUUGAGCUAACCGGUACUAAUGAACCGUGAGGCUUAACCUU
rnacentral:rRNA from 1 species